UAGAGAUAGAGCCUUCCCCUUCGGGGGACAAAGUGACAGGUGGUGCAUGGUUGUCGUCAGCUCGUGUCGUGAGAUGUUGGGUUAAGUCCCGCAACGAGCGCAACCCUUAAGCUUAGUUGCCAUCAUUAAGUUGGGCACUCUAAGUUGACUGCCGGUGACAAACCGGAGGAAGGUGGGGAUGACGUCAAAUCAUCAUGCCCCUUAUGAUUUGGGCUACACACGUGCUACAAUGGACAAUACAAAGGGCAGCGAAACCGCGAGGUCAAGCAAAUCCCAUAAAGUUGUUCUCAGUUCGGAUUGUAGUCUGCAACUCGACUACAUGAAGCUGGAAUCGCUAGUAAUCGUAGAUCAGCAUGCUACGGUGAAUACGUUCCCGGGUCUUGUACACACCGCCCGUCACACCACGAGAGUUUGUAACACCCGAAGCCGGUGGAGUAACCUUUUAGGAGCUAGCCGUCGAAGGUGGGACAAAUGAUUGGGGUGAAGUCGUAACAAGGUAGCCGUAUCGGAAGGUGCGGCUGGAUCACCUCCUUU
rnacentral:rRNA from 1 species